GGACAGCCAUCGCCGAGUCCCCGCCGGGCGUGAGCCCUGGGGAGCCGGGGACCCAAUGAAGUCCCUGGGGUGAAUCGGAAGCCUGAGCCUCGGUGAGGCCGGGGCCUUCGUAGGAGACCUUCCUGCUCCGAACCCGUCAGCUAACCCGGUAGGCGAGAGGGAAGGAAAGG
rnacentral:sRNA from 2 species